UACAGAGGGGGCAAGCGUUGUUCGGAAUUACUGGGCGUAAAGGGCGCGUAGGCGGCCUUCUAAGUCAGACGUGAAAUCCCUCGGCUCAACCGGGGAACUGCGUCUGAUACUGGUUGGCUUGAGUGCAGGAGAGGAACGCGGAAUUCCAGGUGUAGCGGUGAAAUGCGUAGAUAUCUGGAGGAACACCGGUGGCGAAGGCGGCGUUCUGGACUGCAACUGACACUGAGGAACGAAAGCCAGGGGAGCAAACGGG
rnacentral:rRNA from 1 species